UCUCCGUAGGUGAACCUGCGGAGGGAUCAUUACAGAGUUCUCGCCCUCGCGGGUAGAUCUCCCACCCACUGUUAUCGUUACUGUGUUGCUUUGGCGGGCCGCCGGGCCCAGCUCGGCCGCCGGCUCCGGCUGGCGCGCGCCCGCCAGAGGCCCAGCAAACUCUGAAUGUUAGUGUCGUCUGAGUACUAUAUAAUAGUUAAAACUUUCAACAACGGAUCUCUUGGUUCUG
rnacentral:misc_RNA from 1 species